UACAGAGGUGCCGAGCGUUAGGCGGAAUCACUGGGCUUAAAGCGUGUGUAGGCGGUUCCGUAAGUCCCUUGUGAAAUCCCACGGCUCAACCGUGGAACUGCUUGGUAUACUGCGGGUCUUGAGCCACUUAGGGGCAAGCGGAACAAACGGUGGAGCGGUGAAAUGCGUAGAUAUCGUUUGGAACGCCAAUGGUGAAAACAGCUUGCUGGGAGUGUGCUGACGCUGAGACACGAAAGCCAGGGGAGCAAACGGG
rnacentral:rRNA from 1 species